rnacentral:lncRNA from 1 species
CACCAAAGUUUGAGACAAAUGUCUCUUGUCUUUCCUUUCUUUCAUUAUAGAGUAUUUUGUAAGAGAUUGAGUGUUGGAAAACACUUGUGUAAAUCCUUUCUUUGGAGUGAUCUUGUAACGUUAUUCUCUUGGGGUAUUUGUGACUAUUUACUGUAUUUACUAUAAUUUUAUAAUCUCUUUUAUAUUCUUAUUGGUAUAGUAAAAUUUAUUUUCUUUACGUGUGGACGUAGGUCACUUUGACCAAACCAUGUUAAUUUGGGUCAAGCCUGCACGGUUUUACCAAAAGGCCUCACACAGUUGUGUGAAUAUGAACCUUUCUACAUAUAUUAUUUUGUGCAAUUAAGAUAACUUGAUAAUUAUUUCUAAACUAUAUAUCCAUUUAUAUAAUUAUUUCUAAACUAUAUAUCUAUUUAUAUCAUUAGUUGAUUUUUGUUGUUAUCAUUGCUAGUUGUUUUUCAGUACUAUUGUAUAUUGCUAUAUUGCACAUGUUAUUUUGACUGUGAGUGUCUUGAACCGCAAUUGGAUUCAUACCUCUGAGUAUGUUGUGGAAAUAAAAAUGAAAUUUGGUUACUUUUUGCUUUGCAUGGGGAAGUUUUUCGAACCGUUUUUCAACAACCUUUGGUCCUAAAUCAACGUCUUGAACCAUUGGCAUGACAUAACAAUGAAGCAAAUAAAUAGAACUAGGCUCCUUUUCUCCAUCUUUUCUUUCUCUUCGUCUCUCCCACUUAGUUAAUUGAGAUGGAAUAAUGUAUUGCAGAUACAAAUAUAUUAUGAGUAUUGUAAUAUACGUGGCCUACUUUUGGCCAUAGAGUAAGUUCCUUGUUGGCUUCUAUGUCGUCUUUUAUUGGUCACUUUGUUGGACAUUUUAUGUUCAUUCAUUAAAGGCCUUGCUGGACAAUCAUAUUCCAUAUAUGACCUUCUCAUAUUCUUUUAAAUAGGUUGGCAAAUUUCCAUAUCAAAUACACCAAAGUUUGAGACAAACGUCUCUUGUCUUCGCUUCCUUUCAUUAUAGAGUAUUUUGUAAGCGAUUGUGUUUUGGGAAACACUUGUGUAAAUUCUUUCUUUAGAGUGAUCUUGUAAGGUUAUUCUCUUGGGGUAUUUGGGGCUAAUUAGAAUAUUUACUCUAAUUUUGUAAUCUCUUUUGUACUCUUAUUGAUAAAGUAAAAUUGCUCCUCUUCGCGUGUUGACGUAGGUCACAUUGACCAAACCACGUUAAAUUGGGUCAAGCCGGCACGGUUUCACCAAAAGGCCUCACACAAUUGUGUGCAUAUGAUCUUUCCUACAUACAUUUUUUUGUGUAAUUAAGAUAACUUGAUAAUUAUUUCUAAACUAUAUAUCCAUUUAGAUGAUAAUUAUUAACAUUCAUAUUGGAUGAGUAGUUAGCAAAAUAACUACCGCAUGAUCUUAUUUGAUAUCUAUACACAAUGGAAAAAUAUAUUGUAUAAUUGCUAUCACAGAUUGUUUAAUAUCAUCUAGUUAGUUGCCCGCAUGAUUUUUACAAUAUGCCAGCUUUCAGUUCCAGAUAAUAACGACUUUUUAUUUUCAUUACAUCUACCAGUACAUAGUCAUAACAUAUUUUUAGGUGUUAGUUAAUUGUGUAUAUCUCAGUUCGUUGAAUAUAUAUGUUUAGAUUAUUUAGUAUCUUAAACAUAUACAACGGUAUCAGAAAAUCACAGUUUUCCAACUACUAAAAUAGUCGUAUAGUAGUUGCAAUGUCCAAUUUUCCGACUACAUUCUGAUCGUUUUGUAUAGUCGGAAAAUGAUAAGUCGGAAAAUAAAUUCAGACUACUGUACUCGAAAAUUUCUACAUUUUUUAACUUCAUGUCCGACAACUACAGUCGAAACUGUAGUCGGAUAAUAUUUAUAAAAAUUACUACAAUAUUAGUUAUUAUUUUACGACUAUAGAACUAUUGAGUAAGAUAGAAAAUUACAAAUGAAAAUGUAACGACACGACCGGUCCUUUUGAGAAUUUGCAUUUUCUUCAACUAUUUGAAGCCUUGAGCAGCAUCGUAUGAUGUAUUAUAACUUGUGUGAAUCGUCAAUUUUGAUUUUCAGGUGAUUCGAAAGUGAUUUGAAAGAAUGAAUUUCAUGAUUGAAACUCUAAGUUGUAAGAGUUGACCAAGUUUGACUUUUUAAAUAUUUGACCUCGAUUCGGAGUUUUGACAUCUCUAUUAAGUCCGGAUGGUGAUUUUGGACUCGAUCGUAUACCCGGAUUUGCAUUUGGAUAUUUCUAGAAGGUUUCGGUGCUAAUUGGCGAGAGUUGGAAAUUUGAAGGUUUAAAAGGUUCAUAAGUUUGACCGGGAGUUGACUUUGAUAAAAUCGGGUUCGGAUUAUGGUUUAGGUAAUUGGAAUAGCUUUGUUAUGUCAUUUUGGACUUGUGUGCAAAAUUUGAGUUCAUUCUGUGUUGAUUUGAUAUGUUUCGGUGCGAAUUUUGAAAGUUAAAAGUUCAUUAAGUUUGAUUUGAGGUGCGAUUCAUCGUUUCGAUGUUGUUAUGCAUGAUUUGAGGCCUCAAAUAGAUCUGUUUUAGGU